CUUUGACAUGUGAUCAGAUCGUUUGACGUCACGACCGGCUGGGUUUAUGGGACGUACGAGAAGCUUGGCGUUCCAUAUUUAUUUAUUUUUUUAGUUUAUUGUAUAUAAGUUCUUCUGAUGUAAAAAUAUCGUUUCGUUUAAAUUGUAGCCGCAUGUUGUCAGUUCAGCAUCCAAGAACGAACUCCAACAAGAACACGAACUUUUUAAUGCAACAUCAGUAAAUUUGUAUAGUAGUUUAGAUUUAAAAAUAUUGACACUUGUCUGUUUCAUGAGGCAGCUAGUGUUUCUGUAGAAGCUGCCUUCUAAUAAUAAGAUCAGCGAUUUUUAUGCUUUCAAAUCGGGUUAGCCACUAGUCAGCAAGAGUUUUAACUUGCAGUUGUGGAUGUAGCAGUGAACUGUGUUUGCAAACAAGUAUUGGUAUAAGUUCGGAAGUAUUUGAAGGAUUUCCGCUACAGAAUCAUGUCUGUGUCUGUGUGAUCCUGAGUCGUGUACCCCUCCCCACGGGUUUGGGCGAGCAUCCACACACCUUUUGAGAACUGCAGGUGGGUAUGGGCUGAAUUUUACCAUGUGUCCUCCUCGCCCGCAACCAUACUACGCCCCCUUCUGCCUCCAGAUGUCACUAUUUUUUGAUGUGUGCCUGUGUGCCCAGCCCCUUUCAUAAUAUCAGAGAGGGGUAGGGAGGGUAUGGGUCUAUAAAUACAAGGCUCGAUGGAUUAGGGUAAGGUGUGGAUAAGAAGUAGGUGGACUUUUUGUUGACCUGCACAUCACUACUCCCCAUCUUUACUUCUUACCCAACCUUUCUAGGAUGUGCUUUUCCAGUCUUGUUGCCCCUGUCCAACUUUUUUGAAACAUGUUGCUGGCAUCAAAUUCAAAAUGAGCACAUAUUUUUUCUAGAAAACAAAAUUUCACAGUUUCAACUUUUGAUAUGUUGUCUUUUUACUAUGUGCAAUUAAAUUUAGGGUUUACAUGAUUCCAUUUUACACAGUGUCCUGACUUUUUUGAAAAUGGAGUUCUAAAAAGAUCCUCCAGUUUGUUCAGAACAGGAGCACCAGUCCGGGGGAGAUUACAGACUGUCACACCCCAGUGUGUUUCCCAUUUAAAUGAGGAGACAUGCUGAAAACAUGCAUCUGCUGCUGUCCUUGCUUCCUGGGGGAUGUUACUACUUUAUAAAUUGGUGCUUCUUUCAUUUUUUAAAUGAACUGUUUUUAAGAAAAAUAAACUUCUUUCCAAGGGGAACUCUUGCCCAGCACUAUCGGUCCAUUGCACUGGGCUCUGAAGAGACAGAGCAGCAUCCAUAUAUCCUUAGUGUUCUGACAGUUGUUGCACAUCACCCCAAAGACGGCACUUGCUAUAAAGCACAUUGCAAUAAAGAUUUUAUAAUACAAUUAAGCAGUUAGUUGUUUGUGAGGGUUUUCUUCCCCCUACUGUCAUUAGAGUAAAAGGUGUUUACUUCUUCCUGAAAGCAACAUGUAAUGUUGUUUAAAGCAGUGUUGUUGGGAGAAAAAAACUUUCCUUUGUGACAAAAAACAAACAAAAAAAGAGCCUUAUCUAUCUUUAUAGCAGGGAUUCUAGAUAUGUUUUCUGAAUUAUAUAUUAUUAUUGGGCAAGGUGCAAAGCACACCUCAGUUUUGCACUUUGUACCUUGCCCCUAACAAAUUCCAGUUGUUGUGCCCAAAUCACAAUUUUUAUUCUCAUACUAGCUGUAGAGCAGUUAUGCAAUUGCUCCGUGUGAAAACUUAAAGGGAUACUGUCAUGAUUUUAGUGGU